AAUUGUUAUGAGUGAGUAAAGGGCCCACCCUCCUUGUAACUCUACUGAAACAGAAAGUAAGACCUGUAAAAAAUACUUCUCCCAAUUUUGAAGAAAUUGUCUUGUGGCCUUCAGUUGCUUUUUGUUUUAAUCCAGUUUAUAUGCCUAAUUGUUAAAGGCAAAUAAAGGUUCCCUGAAUACAUUCUUCCAGAGACUGAACUGUCUUCCAUCAACAUGUUCGUUGCUCCUACUGUUUUAACUCGCUCAGGACAAGGAAACCACCUAAAAAUGCAACUGGAAGGUGCUUUAAGAAGUUAUACUCCCACGUUUUCUUUCAAGGGUCUGAUGAAAACCCAGCACUGCACCAAAUACUGGAUUAGGACUUAACAGUCACCUCUUUAGCCUGUAUUCUUCCAGAAAAGCCUGACAUUUUUGUAUGUGUACAUGUAUACAAACAGGCUGACGAUAUACAACAUAUAUGCACAACCUCAUCUUACAGGUAAUAUA